GAGCGCACCUAUAAAUUCUAUUAUCUAUGAUCAUAGGUAUAGAAAGAAUUUUUAUCUAUGGAUCUUCCGGCUUUUCUGCACAACUCUGAUGUCUGAUCUUGUCAUCUUGUCUUGGAGCAUUGGGAAUUGCCAGGCAUUGCAGAGCAUUGUUUGAGACGAAGAAAAUUCGCCAUUUUUGCUGUUCAGAAAUACAAACUACGCCUGAAGACUUGCUGUGAGGUAACAUCCUUGUAUUAGAUGGACAAACUACCUACUUAUGAUCCAAUGUUUGCGGCAGUGAGACUUAUUUUUUUUUUUCAUUGGACACAGGAUGACAGUUAUUAUUAAUAAUAAUAAAUUAAUAAGGACCGGGACAGGGCAAAUCAAAAGGGGUCGGAACGUGAAAAAGUGGAGCACCUCUCUGGAAAGGUUGUCAUUUAAACAUAUUAAAUGAGCAUUGAUAUGACAAACAAGGACUCGAAACCUGAAGAAGUGCAACACCAUUAGCGCUCCCUCCUUUGGACUUAGGGCUGUUUGUGGAAGAGGUAUUGCAGUUUUUCAAAAAAUACUACAUGCUUCAUUUCCUCAUCAGUGGUUUUUUCUUUUCAUAAGUGUCUACUGUUAGAGGCACUUUUCUGUUGUGAACGCUUAAGGAAUAAAACUGAAGCAUCGUACAGUAAUCCUCUAGAUUACCCAACAAUUGAGAGAAUUAAAGUUAAGGAAGAUUGUGCAGAAAUAAACAAGAUCUACAAUGGUGCUGUCUUUCCUUGACUGAAUAAUUGAUUUGCUGUUUCGUCUUCGCUUUGCAACAUCAUGCAGUUAAUUUUCAACCCAUGAGUGAGAGCAACUGGUUAUUUGAAUUCCACUGAAACAACAAAUUGUCUGCAGUGGUAUCCCUCCCAGAUAUGGUUUGCUCAACACACUGGAAGACUAGAACGCCACUUUCUACAAUUAAUUAAGGUGAGAAUACAUUAAUUCAUUAUU